rnacentral:tRNA from 1 species
CUUAAUGUGGCAGAAAAGUGCAAUGAAUUUAAGCUUCAUCCAUAAAGAUUCAUCUUUCAUUAAGA